rnacentral:rRNA from 1 species
AGUGAACGCUGGCGGCGUGCCUAAUACAUGCAAGUCGAACGGAGUGGCGCACGGGGGAGUAAUGUAUAGCUAAUCUGCCCUACACUAGAGGACAACAGUUGGAAACGACUGCUAAUACUCUAUAGUGUAGGAUGAGGCUAUAUUGUAUCAGCUAGUUGGUGAGGUAAUGGCUCACCAAGGGUAUGACGCAUAACUGGUCUGAGCGGAUGAUCAGUAACACUGGAACUGAGACACGAGCCAGACUCAUACGGGAGUGAGCGGUAGGGUAUAUUGGCCAAUGGGGGAAACUGUGAAGCGGCAUCGCCGCGUGGAGGAUGACACUUUUCGGAGCGUAAGCUCCUUUUGUUAGGGAAGCGGUACCUAACGAAUAAGCACCGGCUAACUCCGUGCCAGCAGCCGCGGUAAUUC